UCGCGGCCUAUCAGCUUGUUGGUGAGGUAAUGGCUCACCAAGGCGACGACGGGUAGCCGGCCUGAGAGGGUGACCGGCCACACUGGGACUGAGACACGGCCCAGAUUCCUACGGGAGGCAGCAGUGGGGAAUAUUGCACAAUGGGCGAAAGCCUGAUGCAGCGACGCCGCGUGAGGGAUGACGGCCUUCGGGUUGUAAACCUCUUUCAGUAGGGAAGAAGCGAAAGUGACGGUACCUGCAGAAGAAGCGCCGGCUAACUACGUGCCAGCAGCCGCGGUAAUACGUAGGGCGCAAGCGUUAUCCGGAAUUAUUGGGCGUAAAGAGCUCGUAGGCGGUUUGUCGCGUCUAUCGUGAAAGUCCGAGGCUCAACCUCGGAUCUGCGGUGGGUACGGGCAGACUAGAGUGAUGUAGGGGAGACUGGAAUUCCUGGUGUAGCGGUGAAAUGCGCAGAUAUCAGGAGGAACACCGAUGGCGAAGGCAGGUCUCUGGGCAUUAACUGACGCUGAGGAGCGAAAGCAUGGGGAGCGAACAGGAUUAGAUACCCUGGUAGUCCAUGCCGUAAACGUUGGGCACUAGGUGUGGGGGACAUUCCACGUUUUCCGCGCCGUAGCUAACGCAUUAAGUGCCCCGCCUGGGGAGUACGGCCGCAAGGCUAAAACUCAAAGGAAUUGACGGGGGCCCGCACAAGCGGCGGAGCAUGCGGAUUAAUUCGAUGCAACGCGAAGAACCUUACCAAGGCUUGACAUGUGCCAGACCGCCGUGGAAACACGGUUUCCCCUUUGGGGCUGGUUCACAGGUGGUGCAUGGUUGUCGUCAGCUCGUGUCGUGAGAUGUUGGGUUAAGUCCCGCAACGAGCGCAACCCUCGUUCUAUGUUGCCAGCACGCGAUGGUGGGGACUCAUAGGAGACUGCCGGGGUCAACUCGGAGGAAGGUGGGGACGACGUCAAAUCAUCAUGCCCCUUAUGUCUUGGGCUUCACGCAUGCUACAAUGGCCGGUACAAUGGGUUGCGAUACUGUGAGGUGGAGCUAAUCCCA
rnacentral:rRNA from 1 species